CAGCAGCCGCGGGAAUACGUAGGGUGCGAGCGUUAAUCGGAAUUACUGGGCGUAAAGCGUGCGCAGGCGGUUCGUUAAGACAGAUGUGAAAUCCCCGGGCUUAACCCGGGAACUGCAUUUGUGACUGGCGAGCUAGAGUAUGGCAGAGGGGGGUAGAAUUCCACGUGUAGCAGUGAAAUGCGUAGAGAUGUGGAGGAAUACCGAUGGCGAAGGCAGCCCCCUGGGCCAAUACUGACGCUCAUGCACGAAAGCGUGGGGAGCAAACAGGAUUAGAGACCCGCGUAGUCCCUGUCUCUUAUAA
rnacentral:rRNA from 1 species